rnacentral:rRNA from 1 species
CCUACGGGAGGCAGCAGUGGGGAAUAUUGCACAAUGGGGGGAACCCUGAUGCAGCGACGCCGCGUGAGUGAAGAAGUACUUCGGUAUGUAAAGCUCUAUCAGCAGGGAAGAAAAUGACGGUACCUGACUAAGAAGCCCCGGCUAACUACGUGCCAGCAGCCGCGGUACUACGUAGGGGGCAAGCGUUAUCCGGAUUUACUGGGUGUAAAGGGAGCGCAGACGGCUGUGCAAGUCUGGAGUGAAAGGCGGGGGCCCAACCCCCGGACUGCUCUGGAAACUGUAAAGCUGGAGUGCAGGAGAGGUAAGCGGAAUUCCUAGUGUAGCGGUGAAAUGCGUAGAUAUUAGGAGGAACACCAGUGGCGAAGGCGGCUUACUGGACUGCAACUGACGUUGAGGCUCGAAAGCGUGGGGAGCAAACAGGAUUAGAUACCCCAGUAGUC